CGGGGAUCCCGCAGCCUCCCCGUCAAGUGGGUCACCCCAUGCAAGCGCUGC
ncrna:unclassified sequences chromate-resist RNA